rnacentral:rRNA from 1 species
AUUGAACGCUGGCGGCAGGCCUAAUACAUGCAAGUCGAACGAGUGGCGGACGGGUGAGUAAUGUCUGGGAAACUGCCUGAUGGAGGGGGAUAACUACUGGAAACGGUAGCUAAUACCGCAUACCCUCAGAUGUGCCCAGAUGGGAUUAGCUUGUUGGUGGGGUAACGGCUCACCAAGGCGACGAUCCCUAGCUGGUCUGAGAGGAUGACCAGCCACACUGGAACGGAGACACGGUCCAGACUCCUACGGGAGGCAGCAGUGGGGAAUAUUCCACAAUGGGCGCAAGCCUGAUGCAGCCAUGCCGCGUGUGUGAAGAAGGCCUUCGGGUUGUAAAGUUCUUUCGUCGGGGAAGCGUUACCCACCGAAGAAGCCCCGGCUAACUCCGUGCCAGCAGCCGCGGUAAUUC